AUGGUCAUUGGCGUCUUUUGUAUGUGUUUGUUGUGUUCUCUUGAAGCGCUUGAAAGUGCCCCGUUUUUCCUUUACAUUAUUCAAAAUUUCACAUGUCUUCCUUUCCCCGACAGUCUGCAUAUUUUGUUCAUUUCCUCGUCCCUCAUUGACCGGAGGCCCCUUUGGGUUCACCUUCUCAUAUGUUGUGGCCUGCUUUUCCCCCCUUCUCUCCUCCGCUGGAAUCUCAUCUACUCUCACUUCCCCCUUGUCCUUGAGAUAUUUCAGGAUCCACCACCAUUGGGACUGACAGGGCUUCACUAUUCCUUACCUCAUGUACAGUCCUUUCACUCGAAAUCCCUUCCAAAAGAAAUUUCUUUCCUCCAGAUUCUACAUCCUUCUCAUUUGCUUGUUUAUUUAGUGGGCUGGUUGCUUCCUUUUCCUCCCUCUUACCCGAGACCCCCACUCCUUCACCAUCAUAUGAAUUCUUCCUCCACGUAA
rnacentral:rRNA from 1 species